rfam:Cajanus cajan CcLG06_514, whole genome shotgun sequence.
CUAUCCCCUAGAGUUCCUCUGACCACUUCAUUGUGCUUAUUGCUUGCAAAUUCAGAGAAUCAAAAUUCUCAAAGCAUGCAUGCACUACUGAAGUGUUUGGGGGAACUCCGGGUGCCAA